rfam:Ovis aries breed Texel chromosome 3, whole genome shotgun sequence.
UCCCUGGUGGCUCAGACGAUAAAGAAUCUACCUGCAAUGCAGGAGACCCAGGUUCAAAUCCUGGAUUGGGAG